CACAACGUAGGUUUUUCAAAAAUUACAACUCCUUACCAAACACAAAAGCAUGAUAAAGGGAUAUUUACAUUAAAGGAAAUCAAAUGUAUUGUCAUUGUGACCAGGAAGUACAUUUGAUAUGGACGAAAAAAACAUGAAGAAUGUUCUUUUUAAGCUAAAAAAACACUUCAACUCUACGCAUAGACUACGACUCUUGUAAUUGUAUCACCUCAAAAUGCCAAACGAAAAAGGUGAAAUCAAGACAUGCACAUAUCUUUUCGUGCAUGUAUUAGGGUUUAUCACAAUCUAAUAGGUCUUACCAAUGUGAUAAACAAAUUUAAACAUUUUUCUUCUAAUCCACUCACAUUUUGGACAAUAAAAAUAGAUUACUGACUCCCUGCCCUAAGAAAUUAAAAGAAACUUUCCUUUACACAUCUUGAUUUGCUACUAAUUUUUUUACCUUUUCAUUAUCAAACUUGCUACUUUUUACUGCCCAAAAAAUAAAAACAUUAAUCUCUCACCUUGACCUGGGCUUAGUACGAACAGUACUGUAUGUGGCCCGAGCCCUGGCCCUGGGGCUUGAUUUGCUGCUGUUGUUUUGUCGGGACAAUUCUGUCCAUGGAUCGAUAAUUGAGUCCCUAUACUUGUAGGGCAGCGCCUGAGUCCUCCCCCGAUUCGACCGGAUCACCGGCGGCACGACAUUCUCCGCCUCUACUACCUUUACCCUGUCAUUCUUAUCGUUGUAGUCCACCGUCACAGCCGCCGCCGCCGCAGUAUUUUCAGUUUGGUUCAUAUUCCUCUGUUGUCUCGACUCUAUUUGUAACUCACCACUGAGUUCCAGUUCUUCACUCGAUCUCCGUCUCUUAUUCUGUUUCCGAGUUUGAAUUUCCCGUCCAUCUUUCUC
rnacentral:lncRNA from 1 species